rnacentral:sRNA from 1 species
ACCUAAACCCAAUUGCAACGAAAAUCCUUUUUUACAGCACUUACCUAAAAUGUUGCUACGUUGUUCCACUUGGCAAUAACUGCAAAGUGAGCAUAACAGCAAUAAAAAAGAUUGUAGUGAAAAGUGGGACGGAAA